rnacentral:rRNA from 1 species
CCUACGGGAGGCAGCAGUGGGGGAUAUUGCACAAUGGGGGCAACCCUGAUGCAGCGACGCCGCGUGAGCGAUGGAGUACUUCGGUAUGUAAAGCUCUGUCAGCAGGGAAGAGAAUGACGGUACCUGACCAAGAAGCCCCGGCUAAAUACGUGCCAGCAGCCGCGGUAAUACGUAUGGGGCCAGCGUUAUCCGGAUUUACUGGGUGUAAAGGGAGCGUAGGCGGCAGGGCAAGCCUGAUGGGAAAGCCCGGGGCUCAACCCCGGGACUGCAAUGGGAACUGGACCGCUCGAGUGCCGGAGGGGCACGCGGAAUUCCGAGGGGAGCGGUGAAAUGCGUAGAUAUUAGGAGGAACACCAGUGGCGGAGGCGGGCUGCUGGACGGUGUACUGACGCUGAGGCUCGAAAGCGUGGGGAGCAAACAGGAUUAGAUACCCGAGUAGUC